CAAUAGCGUAUAUUAAAGUUGUUGCGGUUAAAAAGCUCGUAGUUGGAGUUCUGCCAGGUGCCGCCUGUCCGCCCCAGUGGUGAGUACGUGGCGCGCAUUUGGCCCUUUCAAGGGGAGCGUAUCUGCACUUUAUUGUGUGGUGCGGGAUCCUUGACUUUUACUUUGAGGAAAUAGGAGUGUUCCAAGCAGGCUCUCGUCGUGCACAGCUCAGCAUGGAAUAAUAGCAUUGGACCUCGAUUCUAAGCUGUUGGUUGCCAGAAGCGAGGUAAUGAUGAAGAGGGAUAGUUGGGGGCAUUCGUAUUUAACUGUCAGAGGUGAAAUUCUUGGACCUGUUAAAGACGGACUACUGCGAAAGCAUCUGCCAUGGAUGUUUUCAUUGA
rnacentral:rRNA from 1 species